CUGUUUUGGAAACCCAGCCACCACGUUGUGAGAAAGUCAAGCAGCCCCACAGACGGGCUACGUGCAGUCCUGCUGAGGUCCCAGUUAAAAGCCAGCAUCACCCGCUGGACACGUGAGUCUGAAUCUCUCACCAGAUUGAGAUGCUAUCGAUGCUGGGACUAUGUCAUAUAUCUCUUUUUAUCCUUGGUUCCAAAUCCACGAACCAGGGCCUCAGAUUCAGUGGGAAUGAAGUGGAGGCCCAGAAAGAAUCAUGUCCAGGUGAAGCUCUACCAUUCCCAGCAGUAUUUGAGGACUGGUCGGUGUUCAGCAGCAGCCCCAGCCAGGACCUCCCAGGGGACCCAAGACGGGAUAGGAUGGAGAAGUGGAACCAGGCCCUCUGACCCUAUCCCAGCACUGGAAACUGGCGAGAGCAGGCUAUCCUUCCAGGCCAGGCCUAGGGACAGAUUAACAUCAAGAAUGGGCAGAAACCUCUGUUCCCCGCAGCCCUGAGACACUAUGCAAAAUAAAUCUUUGCUCCUGCUUUGUGGUGUCAGAAACUACUUUAAAAUGGAAGGAGGGAAGGCAUAUGUGAAAAAAUUCAAAUUCUUAAGAGACAGCUAGCUUCAAAAUCCAAA
rnacentral:lncRNA from 1 species